rnacentral:rRNA from 1 species
GACCUGGCUCAGAUUGAACGCUGGCGGCAGGCCUAACACAUGCAAGUCGAACGGUAACAGGAAGCAGCUUGCUGUUUUGCUGACGAGUGGCGGACGGGUGAGUAAUGUCUGGGAAACUGCCUGAUGGAGGGGGAUAACUUGAGGAAACGGUAGCUAAUACCGCAUAACGUCGCAAGACCAAAGAGGGGGACCUUCGGGCCUCUUGCCAUCGGAUGUGCCCAGAUGGGAUUAGCUAGUAGGUGGGGUAACGGCUCACCUAGGCGACGAUCCCUAGCUGGUCUGAGAGGAUGACCAGCCACACUGGAACUGAGACACGGUCCAGACUCCUACGGGAGGCAGCAGUGGGGAAUAUUGCACAAUGGGCGCAAGCCUGAUGCAGCCAUGCCGCGUGUAUGAAGAAGGCCUUCGGGUUGUAAAGUACUUUCAGCGGGGAGGAAGGGAGUAAAGUUAAUACCUUUGCUCAUUGACGUUACCCGCAGAAGAAGCACCGGCUAACUCCGUGCCAGCAGCCGCGGUAAUACGGAGGGUGCAAGCGUUAAUCGGAAUUACUGGGCGUAAGCGCACGCAGGCGGUUUGUUAAGUCAGAUGUGAAAUCCCCGGGCUCAACCUGGGAACUGCAUCUGAUACUGGCAAGCUUGAGUCUCGUAGAGGGGGAUGAAAUUUCCAGGUGUAGCGGUGAAAUGCGUAG